CACGUAGGGUGCGAGCGUUGUCCGGAAUUAUUGGGCGUAAAGAGCUCGUAGGCGGUGUGUCGCGUCGGCCGUGAAAACCUGCAGCUUAACUGUGGGCUUGCGGUCGAUACGGGCAUCACUGGAGUUCGGGCAGGGGAGACUGGAAUUCCUGGGUGAUAGCGGUGAAAUGCGCAGAUAUCAGGAGGGAACACCGGUGGCGAAGGCGGGUCUCUGGGCCGGAUGAACUGACGCUGGGAGGAGCGAAAGCGUCGGGAGCGAACAGGAUUAGACUACCCCAG
rnacentral:rRNA from 1 species